GAUGAACGCUGGCGGCGUGCCUAACACAUGCAAGUCGAGCGAAAGCACGAGAAGCUUUCGCCCCUGAGGGUAGCGGGGGACGGGUGAGUAACACGUGGAUAACAUACCUCUAAGACUGGGAUAAUAACGGGGAACAGGAGCUAAUACCGGAUGAUAUGUUGAACCGGAUGGUUCAAAAGUGAAAGACGGUCUUGGUGUCAGUAAUAGACGAAGCCGGGCUGCAUUAGCUAGUUGGUAAGGUAACGGCUUAGCAAGGCGACGAUGCAUAGCCGACCUGAGAGGGUGAUCGGCCAUACUGGAACUGAGACACGGUCCAGACUCCUACGGGAGGCAGCAGUAGGGAAUCUUCCGCAAUGGGCGAAAGCCUGAUGGAGCAACACCGCGUGAGUGAUGAAGGUCUUCGGAUCGUAAAGCUCUGUUGUUAGGGAAGAAGAUAUGUGUAUGUAACUGUGAACAUCUUGACGGUACCUAAAGAGUAAGCCCCGGCUAACUACGUG
rnacentral:rRNA from 1 species